AACAUCGCGCACCUGCGGGAACCUGCGGAGGGAUCGUUACAGAGUUGCAAAACUCCCUAAACCAUUGUGAACGUUACCUAAACCGUUGCUUCGGCGGGCGGCCCGGGUCCUUCCCGGCGCCCCUCGGCCCUCGCGGGCGCCCGCCGGAGGUAAACCAAACUAUUGCAUUGUAUGGCCUCUCUGAGUCUUCUGUACUGAAUAAGUCAAAACUUUCAACAACGGAUCUCAGAUCGGAAGAGC
rnacentral:misc_RNA from 1 species